GACUAUUGUAAAUGAGUAGGUCAAGAGAGUAGAACCUCAUGUGAUCGGAAACUUACGUCCUCUUCUGCAACAUUAAUAGUAUCUGUAUGUUACCACUAGGGAAGC